UACGUAGGGGGCGAGCGUUGUCCGGAUUUACUGGGCGUAAAGCGCACGCAGGCGGUCUGUUAAGUUUGGAGUGACAGUUGGUGGCUCAACCACCAAAGUGCUUUGAAAACUGAUAGACUUGAGGGCUUCAGAGGGACACGGAAUUCCGGGUGGAGUGGUGAAAUGCGUAGAGAUCCGGAGGAACACCAAAGGCGAAGGCAGUGUCCUGGGGAGUACCUGACGCUCAGGUGCGAAAGCCAGGGGAGCGAACGGG
rnacentral:rRNA from 1 species